GAGGAGGGUGCUGUGUGGCUUGAUCCUUGAGGUGUUUUGAUAUGGAAUGGCAAAGACAUGUAGUGCACACACCUGAAAACCAAUGUAACUUGUGUAAAAGGGGGCAUAAUAUGGGCCCUUUAAGGUUGCAUAAGGACUGGAUGGCUUAUAGUAAUGGUCUCAGUACCCAACGCUCCCACAUUGCCCAGACGUGGACCCCCAAGGGACACAGUCAUAAGCCUUCCUCAAGUCCAAGUCCUAAAACACUUUGUGUGUGAAAAGCUCCUCAGUGGCAAGGUGUAUGGAUGAGAUUCGCCCUGACAAACUGAAGGCUCUGGACUUUGUUGGGCUGUGUUAUGUUACUGGAGGUGUCAUGGGAGAUUGCUCAUCUAGUCUACAUGUGUUUUGUGUUUACAUAUGAAGUAUUUCUAAAUGACUGUGUUUGAUCAAUGUACCACACAGAAUAAGAAGUUAGUGUUUUCUAGAAAAACUACACAAAGUAGGAUAAAAGAGGACUUACUAGGCGCCCCAUAGAUCUCUUUUUUUCCCAGUGCACUGUAGCAGAAUAAUGGGCCAUGGCAAUGAGUACAAUAAAACUUUUUUAUAUGGCUUGAAAUAACCCAAUCAGUGUAAAUGGAACAGAAAUCACCACAUCCUGAGCCAGCCGCCAUGUUCACCCGAAGAGUAAAAUACAUCCAAACCUGUAUAAUGGUAAUCCUCUUGACAAAUAGGUGACUUGAAGAGCAAUAAUCUGUUGAUGUGUGGAUAGCCACAGUGAAAAUGUUUAUGUAUGUGUGUGUGUGCGUGUGCGUGUGUGUGUGUGUGCACCUGGGGAUGCUGGUCAGGUAGGUAACUACAUUGUGGAAGUCUUCUUCUGGCACUUCACUGAAGCCUGAGAAUUCUGGGAAGGUAAUGAUGGGGGCACCAUCUUUCCCUCGCCCUCCUGUAAAACAAAACCACCACACACUUCUUACUCAAGUCUUCCUCUGUUUGUCAGUAUCACAUAUACUGUUUUUUCUCUAUCAGCAAUUUCCAGCUCUUCACUGAAGGUUUAUAAUAUUAUACUAUGUGUUUAUACUACAUGUCUCAUCAUGCAUCAUUUUAAACACAUUUCCACAAAUUUAGCUUGCAUAUAGUCUAUGGUAUUUUUGAAACAUAAGGAUCUGUGCUAAUUUGAAAUAAAUCAGCUGGGUUGAAAAUAAAACGUGCUGCACAGCAUGAGUAGUGGGACAGUGUUUCCAGGAAUUGUCAGGAGUGUAUCCCAGAAACAUAACAAAUCACUCAGCAUUUAUCUCUCAAGAAGCCACAAGAGCCAGCUAGAUGAAGCAACUUAAGACACAGAAGUUAAAUAACUCAGGUACAUCCUGAAAAAAAUAUUAGACACCAAUAUCGCUAACAUUUAAAUAUUUCCCCACAAAAUGUCACAAGAUGGCAACCUUGAGCUAAAAAUUAUCUGACACCUAAAAUAGUAUGACUUUCUAUAUGUGAAGAAAGAAAUACUGUGCUGUGUAUAAAGAAGACAAGAAGUGCAUCUAACUUUGACAUAUUACUUAAAUGUAGUCCUUUUUAGUCAGGCAAAGACAUACAUUUUACACAUCCCAUGUUCUCUUCUGUCAUCUUUUACUUGCACGCACACACGCAUGCACACACGCACACACAUACACACACAUCACAUUAACUUGCUUAAAACUGAAGUGUGUUGCUGCAGUGCGUCGUGUGGUCUCACAUGUCAUGUUGCCGUGGGAGCAGCUUCGUAGGAGAGUGUUCUACAGUGUGUCAUACUGACCCUCACACACUAAGGUGACUUGAAUACAGUGACUUCCCUGUUCAUCCUUCCUUGGUUAAAAUUUGAUUAGCAUCUUUUAUAUGUAUGACAACGUUGGGCAUAUAUACCGCGGUUUCACGGUAUCCCGCACCUCUAAAAUGUGCUAUUGUAAAAUCUCUGGGUAAAAAAACCAAACAAUAAAUUGCAAAUUUUUGCCAUUUACCAAAAUUAAUUUAAUUUCUAAAUAACUAUAGAACAUUUGGAGCAUUAGUAAAUGUUGUAUGUUAACUUAUAGAACAUAAUUGAAUGACCUGGGGGAUUCCACUGCACUUUUUGGUUUCUUAGUGAGGAUAUCUGUAAACACUUGCGGAGUUAGCACAUUAGCCAAACAAACGGCACACACGUUAGUCGUUUAGGAACCGUGGCUUUUUGAUUCCGUGGUUUACCCUGAAACCGGAAACCGGCCCAUGCCUAGUAACAACAAUAAUGAUGUAACAGUUGCUGUGUAUGGCUAGUCAUUACUUCAUUACUUAUACUCUUAUAGUAUUAAGCAAAGAUAAUAGACAUUUAUCUAUUCUUGCUUAACCUUUGCAGAGUUGCAGGUAGCAAUGCGGUAGGUGGCAGUGCCUUCCACUAAACAACCACGAUGCUCUUAACCUUAAAACCCAUUCUUGAGGUGGAAUAUCUGCUGAUGAUUUAGUUAAUACUUUCAACCCCUUGGUUUAACUCUUGACAAAUAUUUAAAGAUGCUCUAAUUAAUAAUUUUACACGAACAAUGUGUCAAAUGACUAUGUUACGGUGGCCGAGAAGGAUCAACACCAAUGCAAAAGCCACAACACAAAUGCAAAAGCCUAUGAUUGGUCCAGGUUGCGGGGGACUUUGAUUGCUGACGGACGGCCUGAAAGUUUGAAGAAGAUAGAAGACUGUGGACUUUGACAAUUAGGGUAAAUGAAGCGUUAUUGCUAGAUAACUGUUGUCAAUUAUUAGUUUACCUUUAUUAUUGUGAACACAGAAAAUGUGGUUUUUCAUGUGUUGUUAUAGUAAUUAUGGUUACUGUCACAAUUAACAUUUAGUAUUCAUAUAGAAAUAUGCAGAUAUCGUUUAUGGUCCUUAAGUGAAUUAAAAGCAUAAGAGAUAAUAAAAGAGAUAAUAAAAGUUUACUUUAUUGUCUUGCAUAUUGAUCCACCAUCUUUUCAUUUGUGUUCAUCUGGUCUAUUUAUGCAUCUAUAAAUCUCUGUCAUCUAAACUUUUUUUUAAACUUCUAGAGAACAUGAUGACAUCUGGAGAGUGUAACUGUCUACAUAUAGACAUGUUCUUCCAGACAUGCAGACAGUCCCUCUGGAGCAGAGAGCUGGGCAGCAAACCUUCCCUGGAUACCAUUUAAGGACCAGGUCCCUCUCAUCAGCUUCUGCGUUCUGGUUUUGGGCCUCAUCCCCCCCUCCAGGAUAUCACCUGGUGCCACAGAAGUGUUGUGGAGGAUGCAGAAGGCACCAAUCACCUUAGGGGUGAACAGAGGCCGGAUCUCCAGGGCCCAGAAGAAGAUGUUGCACCAAGGGUGUUCUGACUAAAGGCUGGAGGUUUGGUGUCAUGAUGGCAACCUGAAGCUGCAGACACAGAUAUCCUCGCUUUCCAAACAGAAAAUACCAGCUGGUGGAUGCAGCACCUGUUGGUACAUGGGGGAUCUGCAUAGGACCAGUGCAUCAUGUACUGAUCCUGGAUUGUCACUGUAAACAUCUAGAAAUGUGCUCUUGACAUCACAGACACAGUAUAGAAGCACUGAGGGGAAGACUUUUCUGUUGAUGUAUCGUCUCUUCUGUGAAUAUUUAGGAGGAAGAAUCCUGAUGUGGCACCAGCAACACGGCAGAACGCUUCAUGGCCAGCAAGGCGAGCAGCUGGCCUCCACCUCCUCCAUCUCAUCUGGUCUGAGGAAAUGAGUCACUCUGUGCAGGAUGUUCGUCAUUUUCUCCAGAAGAGCAUGUUGAUGCUGUACCUGGAAGCCUGAAGGUUUCACUUCAGCUCCAGUAAAAACAACAUGGCAAAGGACAAAUGAUCUUUCAGCUGUGCAAACCUUCGUACGUGACUUUGGUCCUGUUAGGGGGAGAAAGCUUUUAGUGUUAUUUAUUCUAUGUUGUUAUUAUAUUUAUUGCUUAGUUGUGUCUUUAGUAUUUCAUACAUAUUCUAUUGAAUUUAUUCAACUAUUUAAUACUUAUAACUAUAUGAAUGAAGGCCUGUAAAUCCGCUUUCACAUUGGCCAAAAAACCUGUUUAAACUCGCUAACACUCGGCAUUUUCUGCAGUUUGAAAAAAUUCAAUUGGCAUUCAGUCCCGGGUCAAAUGACUCUGCAAUAGACCCGGGUAAUUAUCAGCUUCACCUCAGCUCAGCAUUGAUAUGAAUGUCACACCCGGGUGAUCGCGCUAAUUUGUGCGAUGACGGAGGCAAUGAAGGCUUGUCUCCUCCGUCGGUAACUUCUGCGACUCUUUGCCAUCUCAGCCACAAAUUCCAUCUGUCUUCGUCAGCCCUCGAACAUCGUUCAGUCUGCGGUUCUAAAGGUUCCCAGGGAACUUUAGCCUGAUGUUUAUGCUGUUUUAAAUAUUGUUAAUUGUUGAUUAAUGAGACACAUAUUGCACUUCUGUCCAUCUUGGGACAAGGAUCCAUCACUUGUGGCUCCCCCUGAGGAUUUUUUUUGAUGAAGGAUUAUUUUUGUAGUUUUUCCUCAUUCAAGUCACACCUUGUACAGAUUGUUAAACCCUAUUAGGUAAUUUGUGAUUAGUGAAAUUACAUUACUCUCCAAAAUAGGGAGGAGUGGGGUGUGUGGUAACAUUCAAUAUAAACGAGGUGCCAUGUGCUACACCUUGGAAGUGGAUAGUGUGUGGUAUAAGGGCAACUACACCAAUUACACACAUGAAGGUCACUCCCCUAAUGUUAAAAUGACUAUGCAGCCUGUGGACACAGUUGAAUAAUGUCCUCUGUGUCUCUGGAGGAGCUUUGUCAAGUGUGAGAAAUUAACCCAGAUGACGUCCUCAGGGUUAUCCGGCCUUGGGUGCUGUUGGUUGCAUUGUGGGAAGGAAGGAGCCAGUGUUUCAUGAGCAACACUCACAUGAGAAAACUAAGCCACUGUUGCAUGGAUUUUAACCAUUGACUGGCGUCACUGGAUGUCUCAUUAAAAUUGCAUUGAAGGCUGCUACAGUGUGGGUACCUCUAUUUUUCAAAAGUCUGUUUUUAACCCUUUCUCUUUUGAAUAUUUAAAACUAGGUUUAAUGUAUCGCACAAACGAAAGCUCUUAACGUAUCACCUUUACAUUUUUGGAAAUUUGGGGAUUCCAUUUAUCUCUUUUCCAACAUCUUGUUUUGCAAUAAUAACUUUCUAUCAUAUUAGAAGUUUUAUUAUUAAUGUUUCCCAGCGUUCAAAGUAAAGAAAAAACACAGGGUCACAACUUGUAGGUUGGAAAGCCCAUGUAGCACGGUGGGACAGUGGGGUCCUGUUACAUACCUGAGAGCAAGGCAAACUGGCGAUGGAGCUGCUCUAUGAUGUCCAUGGCCAGCAGGGGCCUGAUCUCCUGCUGCAUGAUCUCAUCUGUGAGGCGAAACACACUGGUCAGAUGCAUCCUGAUACAGAAUGAAACAUCUGUGACUUCUUUUCGUACUACGAGAAAUGAAACAGCAUGAUCACAUAUAAACCCAUCCAGUAAAUUCGGUGUAAAUGAAUUAAUAAGAAUAGAAAUCAUGACAGAAAUGGAGAAGGGAACUGAACAUACUGCACUCGUGACAACAUUUCUUCUCAUUUCAUCUGUUCAUGUGUCCUCAUAACUGGAACCAGCUCCAAUCUAGUAUCUGAUGUUAUUUCAGAUUGGGUAAAUAAAAUUAAAAAAAGGAAAAGAGCCAAACUGUGAAAAAGCUGUUUCAGAGUGUGAUCAACACACCUCUCUUAAUCACAGGCCAUUUCUCAGAUUUUCAGUGAUUCAAACGGGUUCUGCCAUUUUUCCAGUUGGAGAACAACUGAGCUUUGCAUGUACCUGUAGCAACAAGAACAUAUGCCAGUGCAUGAACCAGAAAAAAGUGGUGACUAGUGCAGAUGAUAAGCUCACCUUAAGAAAUAACUAACUUUUAUCAAAAUUGACAUGAAGUAUCUGUUCAGCAACUAUGACAUAAAAGGUCACCUCACUGUUUAUUAUAGAGGUUAUUGCCAGUUUUUGCUCAUUUGUGUGCAUGAGUGGGCAUUUCUGGUCUGCAGAUACCCAUCUUGAUUUCUAUGUUGGAACUUUGAGGAAGUAGAGACUCUGCAACUUGCUCACCAUGAUGUGUGACAUAAAACAGUCUGAAGCUCUGUCUUUAGAACAGCUUAAGAAUCAUCACCUCUACUUGAACACCCAUGUUAUACUGAUGAAGUUCAUUUUCUGUUUCUCUAUAUUCAUACAUUUUACAAUUCUACUUUUGAACAGUAACAUCCAGUGUAAACAUUUUCCUUUCUCUUUUUCUUGGUUAAUUUUCAAAAAUUAAAUGAUCUAAUCAAA